CUGACUCACUCGUUCAUUUUUUGGUGCUGCCAGGGCUGGCUCUCCAAGCCCAUGUGGAAAUGCUUGAGCAGCCAUUCUAACCUCUGGGCUGCAAUAAUUAGCCUCACAUGGCAUCUGAUCCGCAACAUGUGGCCCCGGCCAUUACUUUGCUUUAGCUGCUUGUUAGGCCCUAAUCUCUGUUUGAUUUCAAGGUGAAACCCAUUUGAGUUUCCUGAGGUUUCUCCAACGAGCUGCAGGGGUGCUGCCCCUUCCAUCCCGUGUGUCUCCUGCUGCAGAGCCCGUGUCUGGCAGGAGGAAGGAGUCAGAGAUCACCUCCUGAACCCGCUCCUCCAGCUGUUCCCUCUGGAUUUGCGGAGCGGUUCCCUGACGUGAUGCACAUCGCCUUGUAAACGUGGCCAUAAUUUUCCUUUCUGUAUUCAUCUGGAGAUCGUUGUCAGAGCUGGGACCACAGGAAGGAGAAACUUCAAGGACUCACAGCAAUGGAGAGCCACCUAGAAGUGCUGGAAGCUCUUGGUCAUGAAAUGUUUGUCCAGGUCUCAGAUGAUGUGAGUCCUCUUGCUGUCCUGCUUUUGCCCCCAUCCCCAAAUUUCCAGCUGAUUUCAAAUUAUGGGAUUUCAACAUUUUCCUUUGUUGUGAACCCAGAAGGCAAUGCUCCCUGCCAGCAAUGCUGGCAAUGGGUAGGAUGGAAAUUAUGAAGAAAUAGAAAUCUUCUUAAGGGUCCAUUUCAGACUUUUUACAUUUUCAUGUUACAAAUAUCAGGCAGAAAUGCCUGAUGGUGAAAACAUCCCCAGUUUGGGUGAUACUUUCUG